rnacentral:rRNA from 1 species
GGAAUCUUGCGCAAUGGGGGAAACCCUGACGCAGCAACGCCGCGUGAGUGACGAAGGCCUUCGGGUCGUAAAGCUCUGUCAGAUGGAAAGAAUUAGUUCGCUGAAAAUAUUGGCGAGUGAUGACGGUACCAUCAGAGGAAGCACCGGCUAACUCCGUGCCAGCAGCCGCGGUAAUACGGAGGGUGCAAGCGUUGUUCGGAAUUAUUGGGCGUAAAGCGCGUGUAGGCGGGAAGGCAGGUCAGGUGUGAAAUCCCUUGGCUUAACCAAGGAACUGCAUCUGAAACCAUUUUCCUCGAGUACGAUAGGGGAGGGCGGAAUUCCCAGUGUAGAGGUGAAAUUCAUAGAUAUUGGGAGGAACACCAGUGGCGAAGGCGACCCUCUGGAUCGAUACUGACGCUGAGACGCGAAAGCGUGGGUAGCAAACAGGAUUAGA